rnacentral:lncRNA from 1 species
GUGUCCCCUCAUUCCCACAUCCCAGCAGGUACCCAUGACCCAGGCACCACCCCUGGUGGGCUGUGUCCCCUCAUUCCCACAUCCCAGCAGGUACCCAUGACCCAGGCACCAACCUUGGUGGGCUGUGUCCCCUCAUCCCAGCAGGUACCCAUGGCCCAACCACCACCCCUGGUGGGCUGUGUCCCCUCAUCCCCACAUCCCAGCAGGUACCCAUGACCCAGGCACCAACCCUGGUGGGCUGUGUCCCCUCAUCCCCACGUCCCCAUUCCCGUGUCCCCACAGGUCAGUGCCAGCAGCUCCGAUGCCAUCGCUGUCCACGCCCUCAGGGUGCUCACGGCCAUCAUGAGCAACUCGCCCUCGGCCAAGGAGGUGUUCAAGGAGCGCAUUGGUUACACCCACCUCUACGAGGUGCUGAGGAGCCAGGGCCAGCCCACCCAGCGUCUGCUCCAGGAGCUCCUCAACAUGCUUCCUCCCAGCGGGUCCUGGGUCCAUCUUUCACUCGGAAUUGUGCUUGGGUUUGGGAGUUUUGAGCCCUUUUGGAUGUGGAGCUGCUCACUCUGGUGCUGCUGGACACAGGAGGGUCUCCAAGGCAGUGGAGGGCGACCACAGCUCCUUCCCAGUGCGUCCCAUCCGCAACGAGCAGCCCCUGCUGAUCCUGCUGGCGUGGCUGCCGGCGCUNUCAUCCCUAUCCUCAUUUUCAUCCUUGUCACCUUUCUGAUGCUAAACAAACCUGAGAUAGGGUGACA